rnacentral:rRNA from 1 species
GGGGAAUAUUGGACAAUGGGCGCAAGCCUGGUCCAGCCAUGCCGCGUGAGUGAUGAAGGCCCUAGGGUUGUAAAGCUCUUUCACCGGUGAAGAUAAUGACGGUAACCGGAGAAGAAGCCCCGGCUAACUUCGUGCCAGCAGCCGCGGUAAUACGAAGGGGGCUAGCGUUGUUCGGAAUUACUGGGCGUAAAGCGCACGUAGGCGGACAUUUAAGUCAGGGGUGAAAUCCCGGGGCUCAACCCCGGAACUGCCUUUGAUACUGGAUGUCUGGAGUAUGGAAGAGGUGAGUGGAAUUCCGAGUGUAGAGGUGAAAUUCGUAGAUAUUCGGAGGAACACCAGUGGCGAAGGCGGCUCACUGGUCCAUUACUGACGCUGAGGUGCGAAAGCGUGGGGAGCAAAC